GUCUUAAUUGGGCGUUAAGUUGCAGGGUAUAGACCCGAAACCCGGUGAUCUAGCCAUGGGCAGGUUGAAGGUUGGGUAACACUAACUGGAGGACCGAACCGACUAAUGUUGAAAAAUUAGCGGAUGACCUGUGGCUGGGGGUGAAAGGCCAAUCAAACCGGGAGAUAGCUGGUUCUCCCCGAAAGCUAUUUAGGUAGCGCCUCGUGAAUUCAUCUCCGGGGGUAGAGCACUGUUUCGGCUAGGGGGCCAUCCCGGCUUACCAACCCGAUGCAAACUGCGAAUACCGGAGAAUGUUAUCACGGGAGACACACGGCGGGUGCUAACGUCCGUCGUGAAGAGGGAAACAACCCAGACCGCCAGCUAAGGUCCCAAAGUCAUGGUUAAGUGGGAAACGAUGUGGGAAGGCCCAGACAGCCAGGAUGUUGGCUUAGAAGCAGCCAUCAUUUAAAGAAAGCGUAAUAGCUCACUGGUCGAGUCGGCCUGCGCGGAAGAUGUAACGGGGCUAAACCAUGCACCGAAGCUGCGGCAGCGACACUCAGGUGUUGUUGGGUAGGGGAGCGUUCUGUAAGCCUGCGAAGGUGGCCUGUGAGGGUUGCUGGAGGUAUCAGAAGUGCGAAUGCUGACAUAAGUAACGAUAAAGCGGGUGAAAAGCCCGCUCGCCGGAAGACCAAGGGUUCCUGUCCAACGUUAAUCGGGGCAGGGUGAGUCGACCCCUAAGGCGAGGCCGAAAGGCGUAGUCGAUGGGAAACGGGUUAAUAUUCCCGUACUUGGUGUUACUGCGAAGGGGGGACGGAGAAGGCUAUGUUGGCCGGGCGACGGUUGUCCCGGUUUAAGCGUGUAGGUGUGUGUUCCAGGUAAAUCCGGUU
rnacentral:rRNA from 2 species